UCCUUCUUCAGCUCUCUUGCGCACCGCACUGAUGCCGGAGCUGGAAGAUGACGUCAUCUUCCGGCUCCGGCAUCAGUACACGGCGCGCGAGGGAGCUGAACA